ensembl:lncRNA
AUUGUUUAUACCAUGACAAGUUAGAUAUUUUUUUAAGAUCCUUACAAACUGUAUUGCGUUUUGGAGUGUUCUCAGUGAAAGCAUGCAGUGAAAGCUGGCUCUGUGGGUGGAGAUUCCUCCAUGUGACUGGGGCCCCUGUGUGAUCAGUUCAAGUGGAAGAACCUCCAUUGUUACGGUUGCCCAACCCCUUUUUACAUUUAUUCGGGGCACAGAGAUCGGGGUGGAGCCAGCCAAGUGGGCACAAGGUUGAGGGCAAGAGCAGUUCUGCAACUACUCUUUAAUCACGUGGAGCUCAUGUGAAAAUGGCAGUUUCCCCCAUCCCCCGACAUUUACUUGCAAAGGCACUGAAUUUUGGAGAUAUGCCGAAGUACUUGUGGGAGAUUUGGGUACCUGACAAACCAUGGGUGGUAAGAUAUCAGAACUGUUCAACAACAGCAAAAGAACCAGUUUGUUUGUUUUCUUCAAAAUCAAGUAUUGUGGGUCCAGCUUCCCAUUGAAACCAGUGCUCAGGCUCCCUUAGGGAGCUCCAUUCACCAACAUGUUUCACCAACAUAGUAUAUUGGGAGGGGGCAUAAAGGGAUCGUUAUAGGGCUUAGUAUAAGAGGAACUGUAUAUACUAUAUGAUGCCACUGUUCAGUAGGACCCCAGGGGUAGGGCCAGGCCAUGGUCCCUGAGGUCAGUAGUUUUAACUGGAAACUAGAGAGGAGUAAAGCACCAAACAGAACGUGGUACUUCUUGGGUGUCUAGAUUUACAUGGAAGACCAGGCCUAACCAAUCUAUAGGCUUCAUAGUGUCCAAUCCUGGACACAGUCCUUGGUAACUCACUAGGCUGGGCCACAGUCUCAGAACCUGAACUUUCUGGUUUAAUCUGAGGAAUCCCUACCACUCUCAUGGAGUGAAAUGUUUUGAAAUUGUAAAUAAUGAUUUGUUUCAAUAGAAUGAGGGUGCUCUAUAAUUCCAAGAGAUCUGGAGAAAAAAUAAAAGUUUUCUUAUAACUGUCUUGGAGUUGACCAUAUGCAUUGCCAAAAAUACGAAAAAUAAAUAAAUGAGAUGUAUCGCAAAAAGGGACAUAAGAAGACACAAGUUUGCAGAGAAAUAGCAUUUUCUGCAAUUUUAGAAAUAAUUACAAAAAAUUAAGUAGAAGCACAGUUCACCUUACCGUAGUAUGGAAAAAUGCUCUACUGCAUGCAGGCAGACACACACACACACUCCUCUCUUGUUUUAAGGUUCUCUAUCUUUAGAGAACCUUGGACCAGGUAGCAUUUCAAAAAAGGACUCCCUCAAAUAGAGUCUUCUAUGAAGUAGGAAACACAGACCCUGUAACUGACAUGGCAAAUAUAUUUUUUUCCACUGUAAAAUAUUUGCAUUAAAGGCAAAUUCACACAAAAUACUCAUUUAACAUUUGUUGCUUAACAAAAAAUAAAUUUGAAAAAUGACUUGUAGGUGCAGGCAAGGGAAGCAUUUUUAAGUCCCAUUGAUUUUGAUGGGAGAGAUUUAAGCAGAUGCUUCAGUCUUCCAUUGAAACCAAUGGGACUUAAACUACUCAGCUUUGGUUGUUGAGUGUCAUAUUUUUUUCCCAUAUUAUCACUCAAUAGGAAAAAAAAUUGCUGAUUUUGUUACUAGGAAAUUAAGCAUGCAAAAGCAGCCUCCAAUUAUAUC